AAUUCAGUUCCCCCUGUUUCCCCUUUAACGCGCAUGUGCAAAAAUCAUGACUUUUUUUCAGUCGCUUCGUUGAGCGUCGGUUUAUUUGGAAUAUGUGUUUAUAGCGCCUGUGAUGGAUGUGACAGAUGGUACCACCAGUCAUGUGUUGGCAACCCACCAGUAGAGGAAGACCUUCAUUGUCCGGCAUGUACUGAAGAUUAGACCAAGUAACUGCUUUAUCCUGGUCAUGGCCGUGGAGGAUCCAGAACUGUUCCUGGGGAAACUGGACGUAUGGCAGGAGUGCACUAUGGAUGUGAUGCUAGUCAAUCUCAGGGCACCAUCCCCAAAUAAAUUUGCACGUCAGAUUUUAUUUUAUUUAGUUUUUAAAAAAAAAUUUUUUUAUUAAGCUAUAAAUAUGUUAGUUUUUCAAGUAUUUAACUUUUACUUUGCAUUAAGG